rnacentral:rRNA from 1 species
AUGGUCUGCGUUUGGAAAGAUUUUUCGGUUGGGGAUGGGCUCGCGGCCUAUCAGCUUGUUGGUGAGGUAAUGGCUCACCAAGGCGUCGACGGGUAGCCGGCCUGAGAGGGUGACCGGCCACACUGGGACUGAGACACGGCCCAGACUCCUACGGGAGGCAGCAGUGGGGAAUAUUGCACAAUGGGCGAAAGCCUGAUGCAGCAACGCCGCGUGAGGGAUGACGGCCUUCGGGUUGUAAACCUCUUUUAGCAGGGAAGAAGCGAAAGUGACGGUACCUGCAGAAAAAGCGCCGGCUAACUACGUGCCAGCAGCCGCGGUAAUACGUAGGGCGCAAGCGUUAUCCGGAAUUAUUGGGCGUAAAGAGCUCGUAGGCGGUUUGUCGCGUCUGCUGUGAAAUCCCGAGGCUCAACCUCGGGCCUGCAGUGGGUACGGGCAGACUAGAGUGCGGUAGGGGAGAUUGGAAUUCCUGGUGUAGCGGUGGAAUGCGCAGAUAUCAGGAGGAACACCGAUGGCGAAGGCAGAUCUCUGGGCCGUAACUGACGCUGAGGAGCGAAAGGGUGGGGAGCAAACAGGCUUAGAUACCCUGGUAGUCCACCCCGUAAACGUUGGGAACUAGUUGUGGGGUCCAUUCCACGGAUUCCGUGACGCAGCUAACGCAUUAAGUUCCCCGCCUGGGGAGUACGGGCCGCAAGGCUAAAACUCAAAGGAAUUGACGGGGACCCGCACAAGCGGCGGAGCAUGCGGAUUAAUUCGAUGCAACGCGAAGAACCUUACCAAGGCUUGACAUAUACGAGAACGGGCCAGAAAUGGUCAACUCUUUGGACACUCGUAAACAGGUGGUGCAUGGUUGUCGUCAGCUCGUGUCGUGAGAUGUUGGGUUAAGUCCCGCAACGAGCGCAACCCUCGUUCUAUGUUGCCAGCACGUAAUGGUGGGAACUCAUGGGAUACUGCCGGGGUCAACUCGGAGGAAGGUGGGGAUGACGUCAAAUCAUCAUGCCCCUUAUGUCUUGGGCUUCACGCAUGCUACAAUGGCCGGUACAAAGGGCUGCAAUACCGUGAGGUGGAGCGAAUCCCAAAAAGCCGGUCCCAGUUCGGAUUGAGGUCUGCAACUCGACCUCAUGAAGUCGGAGUCGCUAGUAAUCGCAGAUCAGUAACGCUGCGGUGAAUACGUUCCCGGGUCUUGUACACACCGCCCGUCAAGUCAUGAAAGUCGGUAACACCUGAAGCCGGUGGCCUAACCCUUGUGG